rnacentral:tRNA from 1 species
AGGGGUAGAGCGGGGUAGAGCGCUCGCUUAGCAUGCGAGAGGGCUGGGGUUCGAUUCCCCAUACCUCCA